GCUUUCGUGGCGUAGUGGUCAGCACGCUCGACGCGUAACCGAGAGGUCAGUGGUUCGAUUCCCGGCGAAGGCU
rnacentral:tRNA from 1 species